GACGAACGCUGGCGGCGUGCUUAACACAUGCAAGUCGAACGGAAAGGCCCUGCUGUGGUGGGGUGCUCGAGUGACGAACGGGUGAGUAACAGGUGAGUAACCUGCCCUUGACUGUGGGAUAAGGGAAGGAAACUGGGGCUAAUAACGGAUAGAAGCGCCUGCUGCAGGGUGGGGGUUGGAAAGUUUGGGCGGGUGGGGAUGGACGCGCGGCUUAUCAGCUUGUUGGUGGGGUAGUGGCUUACCAAGGCUUUGACGGGUAGCCGGCCUGAGAGGGUGACCGGCCACAUUGGGACUGAGAUACGGCCCAGACUCCUACGGGAGGCAGCAGUGGGGAAUAUUGCACAAUGGGCGGAAGCCUGAUGCAGCGACGCCGCGUGCGGGAUGACGGCCUUCGGGUUGUAAACCCCUUUCGCCUCUGACGAAGCGUGAGUGACGGUAUUUGCUGAAGAAGCACCGGCUAACUACGUG
rnacentral:rRNA from 1 species